CGGGCAGUAGCUCAGUGGUAGAGCUCCCGUUUAGUAUGCGAGAAGACUUUGGUUCGAUUCCCGGCUGCUUAC
rnacentral:tRNA from 1 species